ACUCAAAUGAAUUGACGGGGGCCCGCACAAGCGGUGGAGCAUGUGGUUUAAUUCGACGCAACGCGCAGAACCUUACCAGCCCUUGACAUCCCGUGACCGGUCCAGAGAUGGACUUUCCCAGCAAUGGGCACGGAGACAGGUGCUGCAUGGCUGUCGUCAGCUCGUGUCGUGAGAUGUUGGGUUAAGUCCCGCAACGAGCGCAACCCUUGCCUUCAGUUGCCAUCAUUUAGUUGGGCACUCUGGAGGGACUGCCGGCGGCAAGCCGGAGGAAGGUGGGGAUGACGUCAAGUCCUCAUGGCCCUUACGGGCUGGGCUACACACGUGCUACAAUGGUGGCGACAGAGGGCACAAGCGAGAGCGCGAGCUUUAGCAAAUCCUCAAAAGCCAUCUCAGUUCAGAUUGCACUCUGCAACUCGGGUGCAUGAAGGUGGAAUCGCUAGUAAUCGCAGAACAGCAGGCUGCGGUGAAUACGUUCCCGGGCCUUGUACACACCGCCCGU
rnacentral:rRNA from 1 species